GCGGAAGUGGUGGAAUUGGUAGACACACCAUCUUGAGGGGGUGGCGGGUAACACCGUGCGGGUUCAAAUCCCGCCUUCCGCA
rnacentral:tRNA from 1 species